rnacentral:rRNA from 1 species
GAGGGGGGAUGUGCACGCUCUGUGUACACAUCCACUCACACCUGUGGACCCUCUGGAGUGCUACAUGGUCUGGGGGACACGCCGUCUUCCUCGUGUAGCUGUACGUCUUUACACAUACACCGUACAAAGUCUUAUGGAAUGUGCACCGCGUUGGCUCUCUACUAUACAACUUUCAGCAACGGAUGUCUUGGCUCUCGCAUCUUUGAAAAACGCAGGGAAAUGCGAUAAGUAAUGUGAAUUGUGCAAUUCAUGGAAUCAUCGAAUCUUUGAACGCACCUUGCGCCCCUUGGCUAUUCCGAGGGGCAUGCCUGUUUGAGUAUCAUGGACACCUGAUCUCUCAUGGUUCGCCGUGAUGAGCUUGGACUUCUGGAGGUUUUGCUGGCCUUUGGUCGGCUCCUCUCAAACGGAUCAGCUUGCCAGUGUUUGGUGGCGUCAUGGGUGUGAUAAAUAUCUACGCUUGUGGCCGGCUGCCAGGUAACCUUCCCGAUGGAGGUUCGCUGGAGCUCGAAAGGUCUUCCUCCUCGAUACAGCUUUUUGAACACUCCAUCUCGAUCAGGUAGGACUACCCGCUGAACUUAAGCAUAUCAAUAAGCGGAGGAA